rnacentral:lncRNA from 1 species
GCAGCUAAAACUAGGGAGAAAGUCAAAGCUGUAUACGGCACUUGUAAUGUGAGUAUUUUCUCUUCCACAGGACCACAACAGAUGUUGGUGCUGGGGUAGAGUUAUCAGUCUUUGGGGAAGAGGUUCAAGCUCCUCACACACAGAUGAAGUGCUGCUAGGCAUUCAGAGAUGCUAUUUCAGCCAGAGCCUUGCCGGAGAUUAAACUACACCACUCCCAUUAUGGUCCAGUCUUACAUGGGUGGUGCAUCACCCAAAAUUGAAAAGUUAAAUGAAUGUGACUCUGACAGCCCAAUAACAACAAAACGUUACUUCAGAGAUAAGGUAAGGGAAUACUUCACAAAAAUGGCAGCUUUGUCAGGCACCUGAGAAGCUGGCAGCUUCGUUUCUGGCUGUUAAUCAUUAUUUAGUAUAUUUUAUAUUUUAAAAAACAGUUUAUGAGUGAUUUGGACU